CUUGCAGAGAGUGAAAGCAUGUGAGGACUGAGGGAUGCUAGUACUUAGCCUACAUACGUGUGUUGUACCAUGUUUCAACGACCAACAAAGUCAGGCUCUAAGAAAAGAAGAGAAAGGAGAGAAAGACAAGAGAGAGGGACUAAAGGGCGACAGUAUGUCACCCAGUUUUUCACAAGAAAAGGUCCAACAGAUCCAUCUUUAGGCUCAGCAGCCCUGUAAGGCUGAACCUGAACCAGCUUUUCUCCCAACUGAAGGAGUCUGGAGGAUGUCCCACUUACAGAAGACACCAGGGUUUUAUUGUGGCAGCCCAUCCAGGUCCAGUAGCACCACCAGGGACUCCCUGCAGCUUAACAUAUACAUUACAAAUAUUUAACAGGAUCUAAUGUUAUGCAUUUUAAUAAUUUCUGUCCAUUUAAGGCUGUUUAAGGAAGGACCCGCAGCCAUCCCAUCAUUCCACAAAUGAUUUCUGUAUUUCAUUUUGUAAAUAAUGGUAAUGACCUCAGUAAAUCAAAUAAAGAAUGAAUUCAA